rnacentral:rRNA from 1 species
CUGUGCCCGGGCUGGUGCCGUCGAAGGUGACCUGGAAAGGCACGUCAUAGAGGGUGAGAGCCCCGUGUGAGACGCUGCCGGGCUGGGCCGUUGCUGCCUUCGGAGAGUCGGGUUGUUCGGGAAUGCAGCCCAAAGUGGGUGGUAAACUCCAUCUAAAGCUGAAUACUGGCACGAGACCGAUAGCGAACAAGUACCGUGAGGGAAAGGUGAAAAGUACUUUGAAAAGAGAGUCAAAAAGACCGCGAAACCGUUGGGAGGGAAACGAAUGCGGCUGAAGUGGCUCCCCGUCAGGCUCAGGACACGUCGAAGGGUCCCGCGGGUGCUUGCGGCUUGCUUGCCGCCGUCUGUCGGGCGCUUUUCGACGCAUCUGCACUUCUGCGGGGAGCCGGCCAACGACAGUUGUUGCCCGGCCCAAGAGGGCAGCGUGGGAAGGUGGCCCCGCGUUCGCGUGGGGAACUUACAGCCCGCUGUCAGGGUCGUUCCGGGAACGACUGAGGAGAGCCUGCGAGUCUUCGCACUGGCGGCGCAGGCUGCCCCUUCGGGGGCGGCUGGACCGCUCUCGCCCGGCACCUUGUCGCGGUGGUCACUGCCUGCAGUGGCCCUGCUGACGGCGGAAAGGUCGGGAGAGAGGCGGUCGCACCUUGCGCCGCAGUCG